rnacentral:rRNA from 1 species
UACGUAGGCAGCGAGCGUUGUUCGGAGUUACUGGGCGUAAGGGUGUGUAGGCGGUUCUUUAAGUUUGGUGUGAAAUCUCCCGGCUCAACCGGGAGGGUGCGCCGAAUACUGAGGGACUAGAGUAUGGGAUGGGAAAGUGGAAUUCCUGGUGUAGCGGUGAAAUGCGUAGAUAUCAGGAGGAACACCUGUGGUGUAGACGGCUUUCUGGACCAUAACUGACGCUGAGACACGAAAGCGUGGGUAGCAAACAGG